ensembl:lncRNA
CACACAUCAGCACCCAGCUGUGCGUCUCUCAAAAGUAACUGGUCUCUGGACCUACCAGACUCUUUUAACAAAUCUUCUGGGCACAGGGGAAAACAAGCUUCGCCUGUACCGAGCUGUCUGUCAAUGAAAAGUGAUAAUUCAAUGAACCCUCCACUGAAAUUUCAAAGUGAAACAUCACAAGUGCACAGGGGAAAACAAGCUUCGCCCGUACCGAGCUGUCUGUCAAUGAAAAGUGAUAAUUCAAUGAACCCUCCACUGAAAUUUCAAAGUGAAACAUCACAAUUGCACAGGACGAUAAAACAGGAGAGAUCCCACACAUCAGCACCCAGCUGUGCGUCUCUCAAAAGUAACUGGUCUCUGGACCUACCAGACUCUUUUAACAAAUCUUCUGGGCACAGAAAUAGCAAAAGAACCAAGAUUCCUCCAAGCAAACCAAGGACAAACUUAACUGGCAUUUCACAAAGCAUGAUUCACG